rnacentral:rRNA from 1 species
GUUGUAUGGUUAAGUGACUAAGCGUACACGGUGGAUGCCUUGGCAGUCAGAGGCGAUGAAAGGCGUAAUAACUUGCGAUAAGCCCAGAUUAGGUAGUAAUAACCUUUUGAGU